CACCUUCCGCUCGUUCCCUCCCUCCCCCGCCGGUUCCCGCCUGUUUCAUUUCCUUUCGCCGGCCUUAAGCUGUGAAAGGUCCCGGGAUCCUGGCUGUCUCACCCCUUUAGCCUAAGGGUCCUCCGGUCCCGGUUGGCGUUGCGUCUUCGGCCGGCAGCAGCCAGGGGACUGCAGGCCGCAGGGAGCGUAAUUGCGACCGCGGCCGGAGGGGGAGGGACCACGCGCAAGCAGGGGGCGUAACCCGUCACGUGACAAGGAAGUGCCGUUAAUAGCGCUGUCCCCGCGUCUUCGGCGCCUGUGGAUGACGUAAGGCAGGGAGGGGAGGCGCCGGAGAGGGAGAAGGAAGGGCUCAGGUGUAGCUCUCAGUUGCGUCUCGGGUGUCUCUACUGCUGCUAGAUGCUCGUGGGAGAAAGAGAACGCUGUGGGGUUUGCUUUUGAGGAGCACUAAGGUGAUGAGAAAAGCCUCCAAGCCCUACGACUCGUUCAUGUAAUCAAGUGACGCGUGGAAGUGGAAAGGUACAGUAGAUUUGGACUUAGGAGGAGUGGAUUCCAGUCUCAGUGCUGCCUCGGCGGAGUUCUGUAAACUGUGGGCAAGCCAAGCCCCUCGUCCCACUGACUGGGAGCGGAGAACGCACAAGCAAGCAAGGGGAGCUGCAGGCAGAGGGAGACGGAGAAGCAGGCUCCCCGCUGAGCAGAGAUCCCAAGGUUUUAUUCAGGAAUACUGUGUCUGUCACUCAACAUAGUUUCAACUUUCCAUCUAAAUGACUUUUGUGCCAGUGAUACCAGAGUCCUACAGCCAUGUUCUUGCAGAGUUUGAGUCUCUGGAUCCAUUACUUUCAACCCUGAGGCUGGACUCCAGUCGUCUGAAGUGCACCAGCAUAGCUGUAUCUCGAAAAUGGUUGGCUUUGGGCAGUUCAGGAGGAGGACUCAAUCUCAUUCAGAAGGAAGGAUGGAAGCACAGGCUUUUUCUUUCACAUAGGGAAGGUGCAAUUUCUCAGGUUGCAUGUUGUUUACAUGACGAGGAUUAUGUUGCUGUAGCUACCAGUCAAGGUCUUGUAGUUGUUUGGGAAUUAAAUCAGGAGCGUCGUGGGAAACCAGAACGAAUUUAUGUGUCUUCAGAGCAUAAAGGCCGAAAAGUUACAGCUCUCUGUUGGGAUACAGCUAUUCUUAGAGUUUUUGUAGGUGAUCAUAUGGGGAAAGUUUCUGCCAUCAGACUUAAUACUUCUAAACAAACAAAGGCAACUGCUGCCUUUGUGAUGUUUCCUGUUCAGACAAUAACCAUAGUUGACUCCUGUGUUGUGCAGUUGGAUUAUUUGGAUGGAAGACUACUUAUAUCUUCACUUACUCGAUCAUUCUUGUGUGACACUGAGAGAGAAAAAUUCUGGAGAAUUGGAAGCAAGGAAAGAUACGGAGAAUAUGGAGCUUGUUUCUUCCCUGGAAGAUGUUCUGCAGGCCAGCAACCCCUAAUAUAUUGUGCUCGCCCUGGCUCCAGGAUGUGGGAAGUGAACUUUGAUGGGGAAGUUAUAAGUACACAUCAGUUUAAGAAACUCCUCUCAUCACCACCUCUCCCUGUGAUUACUCUAAGAUCAGACCCUCAGUAUGACCAUACAGUUGGAUCCUCCCAGUCUUUGUCUUUCCCCAGACUCUUGUACGUUAGUGAGCAUUGUGUGCUGACUUGGACAGAAGGAGGAAUUUAUAUUUUCAUUCCUCAGAAUGUUCAAGUUCUUCUCUGGAGUGAGGUCAAAGAUAUUCAGGAUGUGGCCGUCUACAAGAACGAGCUGUUCUGUUUGCACCUAAACGGGAAAGUCUCACAUCUUUCUCUAUUGUCUGUGGAACGCUGUGUGGAGCGCCUGCUGAGGAGAGGCCUGUGGAACCUGGCUGCUCGCACUUGCUGUCUUUUCCAAAAUUCUAUUAUUGCCAGCAGAGGAAGAAAAUCUUUGACUGCAGAUAAAUUGGAGAAUCUGAAGUCUCAACUUCAGUCUCAACUGGACCUCACAACCUAUAGUGAUCUAAUUUCUCAACUGGAAGAAUUGAUUUUAAAAUUUGAACCUUUGGAUUCAGCUUGCAGCAGUCGGAGAAGCUCCAUUUCAUCACACGAAAGUUUCAGCAUCUUGGACUCUGGUAUAUAUCGUAUCAUUAGUAGUAGGAGAGGCAGUCAGUCGGAUGAGGACUCUUGUUCCCUUCACAGCCAAACUCUCUCAGAAGACGAGAGACUCAAAGAAUUUGCCUCACAUCCAGAAGAGGACCAGCCAGAUCCGUGCUGGAGCUCACGCGGAAAUGAAGACAGUGUUUCUCAUGCUCCCGUGACAUUUGAGACAGAUAAGAAUGAAACAUUUCUCCCCUUCGGCAUUCCACUAUCAUUUCGUUCUCCAUCUCCUCUUGUGUCUCUUCAGGCUGUCAAGGAAAGUGUUUCUAGCUUUGUACGUAAAACUACUGAGAAGAUUGGCACCCUUCAUACUAGCCCUGAUCUGAAAAUAAGACCAGAACCCAGGGGUGAUGAGCAUUUAUGUGAAGAGGAUAUGAGUCCAGUCAUCUGCCCAAAGGAAGAAGACACUGAGGACAAAAAAGAAGUAAUUAGUCAACCUCCAGAAGAAGACAAGUUCCAAGAGCUCAAAGUAGCGACAGCAGAAGCAAUGACCAAGCUACAAGAUCCACUGGUUUUGUUUGAACCCGAGUCUCUGAGAAUGGUCUUACAGGAGUGGCUUCCACAGUUAGAAAAAGCAUUUGCCGUGAAGGACUUUUUAGGCGUUUCAGAUAUUGGCCACUCAUCUACGAUGUCAAACCAGGAUGUGCUGUUGUUUGAAGAGUCAAAAAAGGGAAUAUUAGAUGAAGAUAACAAAAAUGAAAAAAGAGACUCUUUAGGCAAUGAAGAAAUUGUUGCUCCAACAGCAUGUGAAUCUACAGAGUGUGUGAAGGAGCCCUCGGAUGACCUUUUCCAAGUAUGUGCUCCGUGCAGCAUAGCUGACGGUCUUCAGAAGGACCUGGCUGAAUUGACAACGUUGUGUUUGGAAUUGAAUGUAUUGAAUUUUGAGACCAAAACCACAAGCGGACACGCGGACCAUUCUUUCCAACAGCACUCUCCUGAAAUUCUGGCUUGUCAGUUCAUAAAGAAGUACUUCUUCCUCCUGGACUUGAAAAGAGCAAAGGAGAGUGUCAAGCUUAGUUACGCUAACAGUCCUGGUGUUUGGGACACUUUUAUUGAAGGAUUGAAAGAAUUGGCAAGUUCCAAUCCUACAUAUAUAGAGAUGGAACAAGGAGACCUCCCAACAAGACUAAAGUUAUUGAAUGACUCAGUCCCCUUUGACAAUCCUUUGUUGAUUGCUUAUGCUGCCCGAUUGUAUGAGAGGUUUGGAGAAUCUGCCCUUCGGUCCUUAAUCGGAUUUUACCCAUCUGUUUUGCCUUCGGAUGUCACGCAACUUUGUCAUCAUCAUCCUGCUCAGUUUUUGGCCUAUUUAGACAGUCUGGUGAAAUCGAGGCCUGAAGAACAACGGCCCUCCUUUCUUGAGUCUCUUCUGCAACCAGAGUCUUUAAGGUUGGAUUGGCUGCUUUUGGCCGUGUCCCACGAUGCUCCCCCAAGCACCAGCACAAUGGACGAUGAAGGAAACCCCAGGCCUCAUUCACACUUGUCUUCAUGGGGCUACAGUCAGCUGAUGCUUCAUCUCAUUAAACUACCUGCAGAUUUUACAACCAAAGAGAAAAUGACUGACAUCUGUAGGUCUCAUGGUUUCUGGCCUGGAUAUCUUAGUCUUUGUUUGGAGUUAGAGAGAAGAAGAGAGGCCUUUACCAACAUUGUGUGCUUGAACGAUAUGAGCCUGAUGGAAGGGGACAAUGGCAGAGCGCUACGAGCCAUGAGAGCCAACAGUUGUGUGUUUCUGUGUGCGUGUGUGUUAAGGUUGGGUCCCAGAGACUGUGGAGGAAUGGAAGCUGCUCCUGCAUCUUGUACAGAACAAGAACACGAAGCCCGCACCCCAGAAGUCACCAAAUGGGAACUUCAGUGAUGGGCCUUCCCCCAUCAACGUGGAGAAUGUGGCCCUCCUAUUAGCUAAGGCCAUGGGCCCAGAUCAGGCCUGGUCACUGCUGCAGGAAUGUGGUUUGACCCUGGAGUUGUCAGAGAGGUUUACCAGAACCUGUGAUAUUCUAAGGAUUGCUGAGAAGAGACAGAGAGCCUUGAUACAAAGCAUGCUGGAAAAAUGUGAUCGGUUUCUCUGGUCUCAGCAGGCCUAGUGGAAGAAGAUUCAGCAAAUGUCGCAACAUUUUGAGAAAAACAGAAUCAUCCUCCUGAACCUCCCGAGUGCAUUUGUUGUUGAAGGAAAGGUACCACCUGAAAAUUCUGCCACCUUACUGGGAGUACUUUUGUCAGUAUCUAUAACUUCUGCAUUUGUGGCUGUGGCUGUGACCUCUGUUUCUCAACCAGGGUUGAAUUUUGAAAAGGACUCAGUCCUUUUUUGCUGAAAUGAAGUGCUCUGGAAUCAGAAUGUGAAAGUUCACAGCUGUGCAGUCCUUAUUCUGAACUACAGUAUUAUUUUCUCCUUGCUUAAGGGAUUGGGGGAAUUAUUUUCCUGUUGUGACUCUCAUGGAGGGAACAGAAGUUUCUCACCCUGGUUGCGUGAAGGCAGAUAAAGUAAUUGACAGAAGUUGAAUUCUUUAUAUCUUCUCUGGAAUAGUUGAGAAAUUAUUGAAAGAAGACCUGAUGGAAUGGAAUUAACACAUCAAAUAAGUGAAACAUUGAAGAUUCAAGUUAGAUAUUUACGUGAAAUGACCCCAUAUUUAAAAUUGAGCUAACUUAAAAUCUAUUUUUUCCCAGUAUUUGACAUUUUCUAAUCUGAACUUAUAUACAGAUGACUAAUUUAUUACUGGAAAUGUUUUAUCUCUAAUCUUUCCUAAACAGUGGUCCAAAGGAAUCAUGCACUUUUGAAAAUUAUUUUUUAAAAGCCAUAAUAAAGGAAAACUAAGUACUCACAAACUGCAGUAGACACCUGUGUCAUUUAAGCCAUGGACCCAAAUGCCUUUGUCAGGCCCCUGUACACUUGCAUAGCAUGUUACAUUAAUAAUACAUUAAAAUCUGUUAAGUUUUUAUUUAA